UUUUUUUCAGCUGGAGAGCCUUAAAGAACUUAAACUUAGGAUCUUUCAUGGAGGAAGGUCAUAAAAUGAUGAAACAUAAUUA